rnacentral:rRNA from 1 species
AUUGAACGCUGGCGGCAGGCCUAACACAUGCAAGUCGAACGAGUGGCGGACGGGUGAGUAAUGUCUGGGAAACUGCCUGAUGGAGGGGGCUAACUACUGGAAACGGUAGCUAAUACCGCAUACCAUCGGAUGUGCCCAGAUGGGAUUAGCUAGUAGGUGGGGUAAUGGCUCACCUAGGCGACGAUCCCUAGCUGGUAUGAGAGGAUGACCAGACACACUGGAAAUCAGACACGGUCCAGACUCCUACGUGAGGCAGCAGUGGGGUAUCUUGCACAAUGGGCGGAAGCCUGAUGCAGGCAUGCCGAGGGUAUGAAGAAGGCGUUCGGAUUUUACAGUACUUUCAGCGGGGAGGGGUUGUCCUCAGAAGAAGCACCGGCUAGCUCCGCGCCAGCAGCCGCGGUGCUUU